rfam:Salmo salar isolate Sally breed double haploid chromosome ssa03, whole genome shotgun sequence.
UGAAUGCACUAACUGUAAGUCGCUCUGGAUAAGAGUGUCUGCUGAAUGACUAAAA